AUGUGUGCAUAUAUAUAUAUUUUUUUUUAGCAAUUCGACUUAGUUUUUAGUGUUUUCAUUGCUCAUAGAUGAGGAAUUGCUUGCUGUAUGGAUUCACUAGAAAUAAGCUAAACCACAGCUGUAUACUUAAGCACUUGUGCUGUACUGCUAUCAAUCGCCAUGAGUGCUGCUGUGCUUAACUGUAGCCAGACAGUCUGAUGCAAGGGGGGGUGAGCGCAAGAUGUGUUCCCUUGUGAACCCUAGAAGCUGACUUACAGAGCCUUGUAAGGGAUCUUGUAAAUGCUGACUCUGAGGUACCUGUUUAGCUUGGAAAUAAGGUACAAUAAAAAACAAAGCUAUCUUACCUUGUAUCUGUAAGCCAAUUUUGGAAGUGUGGAACAUCAGUAAUAUCUUUUUUUUUUAAUGAGAAAGCAAAAUCCUUAAAUUUACCUGGUAGGAAGAAGUGGAUUGAAGUAACUUGGUGAGCAAGGGUUUUGACCUAGAAGCACUGGUAAAAGUUUUAUAGAGCUGUUGGAGCCAUUGGGAUCACUUAUGUGCUUAACCGGCUGAUUGUGUUGUCUAUAUUUCCUGUUUUGAAGACAAUCAUCCUGCAGCCAUGGAGGUGUAAGACCUCUCCUGAUCUGGAAUUGGUUCCAGAAUGCAGAAGCUGCAGUUUGAAGGAAAGUCACUGACUGUCAGUGGACUUUUAACAAAAUCAGAAGAAUCAGUUUAAACAAAAUGAGUGAUGUCACCCUGGUCUCCAUGAGUUCAGAAUCCAUCUGAAAGUGUAUCCACUGGAGCUGGUGCGAGGAAUGCACCAAUUCCAGMAGCAGAAAGUUCCUACUUAGCUGGAGCAGUACAGAGAAAGAGAAGGGAAACCUUUCUGCAAAGAAAGCAGGCUGGAUUCUACUUAACAGAGAGAAUGCACGCUUUCCAGGAAUACUUGAAGAGUCCAGAAACAGGAARGAAUACGGUAAAAAGCUGUUCUGGAGGUGUUUGGUGAUGUACACUGGGGAGCUGCGGUGCUUCAUGAGCGCAAGGGCCUGCUUCUCCAGCCAGUCACCCUGUGCACAAGCCUCCUAACCAGCCCCCCCAAAGGAAACCUAAGAAGAAUAAUCCAACCUGCUUGCCUGGAUAACUCAUUCCAGAAGUGGCACCGAACUGACAAUAUCAACUUGGCCUCCUACUAAAUUUGGUUCUCUGCGUGCAAGCAGCCUUUYUCCAGCAGAUCUUAUGCCUUCAGACCACCCCCUGUGCCCUGGGACAGCCAAGGCACGAGAGCACACAGCACACGCCAUUUAGCCCCAGGCUCUUUGGGACGCUUUGUGCUGAAAACCCCCACAGCCGCUCGUUCGCCAGGGCCGCAGCAGGCAGGACGCUGCCGCGGGGGCACC
rnacentral:lncRNA from 1 species